UGGGGGAUAUUGCACAAUGGGCGAAAGCCUGAUGCAGCGACGCCGCGUGGGGUAUGAAGGCCUUCGGGUUGUAAACUUCUUUUGCUCUGAACAAGGCAUGCCUUUGGGGUGUGUUGAGUGUAGGGGUUGAUUAGUGCCGGCUAACUACGUGCCAGCAGCCGCGGUAAUACGUAGGGCGCGAGCGUUGUCCGGAAUUAUUGGGCGUAAAGGGCUUGUAGGUGUCUGGUUGCGUCUGUCGUGAAAGCUCAUGGCUUAACUGUGGGUUUGCGGUGGGUACGUGAUGGCUUGAGUGCAGUAGGGGAGGCUGGAAUUCCUGGUGUAGCGGUGGAAUGCGCAGAUAUCAGGAGGAAUACCGGUGGCGAAGGCGGGUCUCUGGGCUGUUACUGACGCUGAGGGGCGAAAGCGUGGGGGGCGAACAGG
rnacentral:rRNA from 1 species